rnacentral:rRNA from 1 species
GAUCAUGGCUCAGGACGAACGCUGGCGGCGCGCCUAACACAUGCAAGUCGAACGAGCGAGAGAGAGCUUGCUUUCUCGAGCGAGUGGCGAACGGGUGAGUAACGCGUGAGGAACCUGCCUCAAAGAGGGGGACAACAGUUGGAAACGACUGCUAAUACCGCAUAAGCCCACGGCUCGGCAUCGAGCAGAAGGGAAAAGGAGUGAUCCGCUUUGAGAUGGCCUCGCGUCCG